rnacentral:rRNA from 1 species
AACGAACGCUGGCGGCAGGCCUAACACAUGCAAGUCGAGCGCCCCGCAAGGGGAGCGGCGGACGGGUGAGUAACGCGUGGGAACGUACCCUUUGCUACGGAAUAGCCUCGGGAAACUGGGAGUAAUACCGUAUGUGCCCUUCGGGGAAGAUUUAUCGGCAAAGGAUCGGCCCGCGUUGGAUUAGGUAGUUGGUGGGGUAAUGGCCUACCAAGCCGACGAUCCAUAGCUGGUUUGAGAGGAUGAUCAGCCACACUGGGACUGAGACACGGCCCAGACUCCUACGGGAGGCAGCAGUGGGGAAUCUUAGACAAUGGGCGCAAGCCUGAUCUAGCCAUGCCGCGUGAGCGAUGAAGGCCUUAGGGUUGUAAAGCUCUUUCAGUGGGGAAGAUAAUGACUGUACCCACAGAAGAAGCCCCGGCUAACUCCGUG